rnacentral:lncRNA from 1 species
UGGACAUGAGGGUCCCUGCUCAGCUCCUGGGACUCCUGCUGCUCUGGCUCCCAGAUACCAGAUGUGACAUCCAGAUGACCCAGUCUCCAUCCUCCCUGUCUGCAUCUGUAGGAGACAGAGUCACCAUCACUUGCCGGGCGAGUCAGGGCAUUAGCAAUUAUUUAGCCUGGUAUCAGCAGAAACCAGGGAAAGUUCCUAAGCUCCUGAUCUAUGCUGCAUCCACUUUGCAAUCAGGGGUCCCAUCUCGGUUCAGUGGCAGUGGAUCUGGGACAGAUUUCACUCUCACCAUCAGCAGCCUGCAGCCUGAAGAUGUUGCAACUUAUUACUGUCAAAAGUAUAACAGUGCCCCUCCCACUACUGUGGAAGACCAAGGUUCUUUUGAAGAACUGUGGCUGCACCAUCUGUCUUCAUCUUCCCGCCAUCUGAUGAGCAGUUGAAAUCUGGAACUGCCUCUGUUGUGUGCCUGCUGAAUAACUUCUAUCCCAGAGAGGCCAAAGUACAGUGGAAGGUGGAUAACGCCCUCCAAUCGGGUAACUCCCAGGAGAGUGUCACAGAGCAGGACAGCAAGGACAGCACCUACAGCCUCAGCAGCACCCUGACGCUGAGCAAAGCAGACUACGAGAAACACAAAGUCUACGCCUGCGAAGUCACCCAUCAGGGCCUGAGCUCGCCCGUCACAAAGAGCUUCAACAGGGGAGAGUGUUAGAGGGAGAAGUGCCCCCACCUGCUCCUCAGUUCCAGCCUGACCCCCUCCCAUCCUUUGGCCUCUGACCCUUUUUCCACAGGGGACCUACCCCUAUUGCGGUCCUCCAGCUCAUCUUUCACCUCACCCCCCUCCUCCUCCUUGGCUUUAAUUAUGCUAAUGUUGGAGGAGAAUGAAUAAAUAAAGUGAAUCUUUGC